UAGGGAAUAUUGGUAAUGUGCGAAAGCGCGAACCAGCAACGCCGCGUGCACGAUGAAGGCCUUCGGGUCGUAAAGUGCUUUUAGAGAGGAUGAGGAAGGACAGUACUUUCUGAAUAAGCCUCGGCUAACUACGUGCCAGCAGCCGCGGUAAAACGUAGGAGGCUAGCGUUAUCCGGAUUUACUGGGCGUAAAGCGCAUGCAGGUGGUUUUGUAAGUUGGAUGUGAAAGCUCUUGGCUUAACUGGGAGAGGUCGUUCAAAACUACAAGACUUGAGAUUGGUAGAGGAAAAUGGAAUUCCGGGUGUAGUGGUGAAAUGCGUAGAUAUCCGGAGGAACACCAGUGGCGAAAGCGGUUUUCUGGACCAAUUCUGACACUCAGAUGCGAAAGCUAAGGUAGCAAACG
rnacentral:rRNA from 1 species